UACGAGAGGCCCAAACGUUAUUCGGAUUUACUGGGCUUGAAGAGUUCGUAGGCGGCGCGGAAAGUAGGGUGUGAAAGCCCUCGGCUCAACCGAGGAAUUGCGCUCUAAACUACCGUGCUUGAGGAAGCUAGAGGUGAGCGGAACUGAUGGUGGAGCGGUGAAAUGCGUUGAUAUCAUCAGGAACACCGGAGGCGAAGGCGGCUCACUGGGGCUUUUCUGACGCUGAGGAACGAAAGCCAGGGGAGCGAACGGG
rnacentral:rRNA from 1 species